GAUGAACGCUGGCGGCGUGCCUAAUACAUGCAAGUCGAACGCUGAAGGAGGAGCUUGCUCUUCUGGAUGAGUUGCGAACGGGUGAGUAACGCGUAGGUAACCUGCCUGGUAGCGGGGGAUAACUAUGGAAACGAUAGCUAAUACCGCAUGACAACAGUUAUUGCAUGAUAACUGUUUAAAAGGGGCAACUGCUCCACUACCAGAUGGACCUGCGUUGUAUUAGCUAGUUGGUGAGGUAACGGCUCACCAAGGCGACGAUACAUAGCCGACCUGAGAGGGUGAUCGGCCACACUGGGACUGAGACACGGCCCAGACUCCUACGGGAGGCAGCAGUAGGGAAUCUUCGGCAAUGGACGGAAGUCUGACCGAGCAACGCCGCGUGAGUGAAGAAGGGUUUCGGAUCGUAAAGCUCUGUUGUAAGAGAAGAACGAGUGUGAGAGUGGAAAGUUCACACUGUGACGGUAUCUUACCAGAAAGGGACGGCUAACUACGUG
rnacentral:rRNA from 1 species